UCCGUUGAAUGUUGCGUCUCUGCGUCUCCUCCGUGAUAUUGAAUCUGUUCUGUGCUUGUCCGAUCCGUAGAGGAAUACGUUGAUUGACUUUAUUUUGUACGUACGUAUCGUAUACGCGUCUGUCAUCCGCGUAUUAUUUAACGCGAGUGAAUGAAAUAAUUUUUAUCGGUAAUAAGGGCAACGAUCGAUGUAGAUUGCAUCACUUGUGAUGUCUGUUUAAGAAGAACGCCAUUGAUUUCACCGUUCACGAUAUUUAUACCUGUGAACGUGUUUUAUUAAAAAUUAUUGUGAAUUAUUGUUUAUUAUUAUUAUUGUUUUAUUAUGAAAUUAUUUUAUUUUAAAAUUAUGGAUUUAUUACCAGAACAUAAUUCGACGUUUUGGAAAAUUGGUAGAUUAAAAACGUUUGAAAAUUGGGCGUUUCAAUCUUCUGACAAUUCGUGCAAUCCCGAGCGGAUGGCACCUGCCGGUUUUUAUGUAGUGGGUGGAAUGAACACAUGAAAUAUGAGUCGCAAUGUUCCUUUAUUAGAUUGGGAAAAUCGGAUGAGACUACUUGGACUGUGAAUGAAUUAUUCGAUUUGUUUAAAAAUAUAUGGUUAAGGAAUGCGUGAG